CUUGAAACCUAUGAGAGGUCCAGCCUGCCCAGUGACUCUGUUCAACGGCCGCGGUAUCCUAACCGUGCGAAGGUAGCGUAAUCACUUGUUCUUUAAAUGAGGACUAGUAUGAAUGGCACCACGAAGGUUAUACUGUCUCCUUUUUCUAAUCAGUGAAACUAAUCUUCCCGUGAAGAAGCGGGAAUAAAAAUAUAAGACGAGAAGACCCUAUGGAGCUUUAAACAAACAUACAAUUGCCUUAUCUCAUAAAAAUUCCAGAAAAAACACUUCUAUUCAGGCACUUUGAUAUAAAGUUUUAGGUUGGGGUGACCACGGAGUAAAAAACAACCUCCGCAGUGAAAGGGGCUUUUCCCCUAAGCCAAGGGCCACGACCCUAAGAAUCAAUAAAUUGACACUAAUUGACCCAAUUAAUUGAUCAAUGAAC
rnacentral:rRNA from 1 species